UUUUUUUUUUUUUUUUUAUAGCUUCCUUACCUUAAGUGCCUCCCCAUCGCCCCUCCAAACUUAAUGAAAAACACCCAUUCUUACGUGCAUGGGUGUGCCUGGCAUGUGUGCACACCCCCCACACCCACCCACAGACACGCAGGCACACCCUGAAGUUCUCCUGAGACACAAGUGACCAGUGCCAGUGGGAUCUGGCCAUGCGUCAGAGCCUGUUUUAAGAUGGAAAUGACUACUUUCCUCCACCUUCUUGGGACCGUGUGGCUCUCUGCCCAAGACGUAGGUGUCUUCUCUGAUAAACUACUGCAGCUGGGAGAGCUGUAUGUCGCAGAGCCAUCUCAACCAUAGAUGUCUUGCUAGCCCCUAGAACUCCCGUGGAUGACAAAGCCAGAGUGAGGCAGCAAGCCGGGCGGAAUAAACACAGUUUAAUAAGUUUUGUUUCCCACCUCAAAGGACAGAGAGCAGACGACCAGUAAGGAAGUUCUCCAAAUUAGGGUUUUGAACCCAAGUUCUUGAAAGACUCAUCAGGAUGCCUUUAUGAACAGGAGCCUGGUCUCACCUAAAUCCUAGCUGUGACUGCCUUCCUACCCUCCUGUCUACUUUUAAAUGGAGGCAGUCAGACAUACCUUUCUCCUGAUUUUGUCUUGAAGGCAAGAUGAAUAUAUGCAAACAAAGAGCCAAGCGAGUAUUACGUUACCACAUUUGUAAUAGAUCUGUCCCAGGUAGAGGAGGGAGGUAGAACACCCAGGGCAAACACGUUCUGCUCUGUGCCAGAAUGUUCUCUUCCCUCUCGAUAGAAAGGAUCCCCUGGAUGGCUAGGAUUUCUUGGUCCAGGCAUUACAUCCAGUGCAAUGAUCCUUCAGUUUGACCAUGUGUUAAUCAUAAUAAAUUUCAGGUACUGGAAAAUCCUGCACAGGGUCGCCCUGUGGAUCAUGGGCUAGCUCAUCCUGACGCUAGGUCCAGUGCAGUCUCGGGACGACCACCAGCACAGGGUCCCCUCGAGGCCUUGUUAAAGAUUCAGACAGUUGUCCCGCUCCCCCCAGACCAACUGAAUAAAAAUCUCUGAUGCAGGAGGCCUAGGACUGUGCAUUUUUUACAGCACACUGACAUUUGGGACUUGCUCAAGAUUUGGAGGCCCUUCUCUGGAAACCCAGGAGCAAGAGAUCUGACUGCACAUUCUGUCCCUGCUCUAACAUGUGGUUUCCAAGCAGAGGUUCAUUUUCUUAGGUUGGUCUUCAUAUUUUCCAGCCUCAUUCCUACAGCAUUCCUGGUUACAUCGUAGACAAUAGCCAGUCCACCAGGACUUAACAUGUCUGUAACUAUAACUACACCCCAAUCUAUUUUGAAGAUUCAAUCUUUCCUAACCUUGGUUGUCAGUGGCUGCAACAAUUACACUGGUAUUCAAACAUGUGACUUCCUCCUUAGGUCAGAAAGAAAACAUUUAAGGUUUCCUCAGUCCCCUUGCCAUGACUCUGCAGGAAGACCUCAACAUAAUGGGGAUGAUGCACCUCCUUUCAUGAACAUGAAAGUUGCUUUCUAUGGACCAGUCCUUCACAGCUAAUUUCCUGAAGUUGCUAAAGAUGAACUGGAUUUUGGCUUUUCAGGCCGAAAAGCUCAAGAUGAACUUUGAGCACCUGACAUAAGGUAAUCCUCCAGGAGUUACAAGGGUGAUGUAGGGAAGAGCAAUAGUGCCAGCCAGUGUUCAAAACCCUUAUUAUCGUCGAUCUGUGUGACCAAGUUAGUUUGGCUAAAUGCCAACUAAUGAAGCCAAGGACAUGGUUUGCAUCUUUUGUAGGCCAGUAGGCUUCAAUCACUUUCUCUUGUGGACUAUUCAUCUUGAAAAUGCCAACCAAAGGAAUCUGAGUAAUAGCGUGAGGAAUAGGGUGAAAUAACCCUAGGUCUGAUGUCCUUUGAUGACAAAUCAGAAGGCUCUUCUUUAGGCCCUAAAGAGACAAGUGGUAUACAUGGCAUGAUUCCAAUCCAGACAGAAUCCCUUUUAGACUGUUUUGAAAUAUAAUUUGCUCAUUAUAACCCAAGCUGACUCCUUAAUUCUACCAUUUCCCCAGAAGUAGACUUUUCUAGAAUAAAACUGGUGUCUCUCUGUGGGGUGACUUACUGGGUCCCCUGCAGGCUGGCCACUCUAAUGCACCUGGAUCAAGGUGUCCCAGGAACUACUUCCUCCCUUUCUAGGAUAUAACAUCUCCCUUUUGGGUCAUCCCGUCUCUCCUGGCUCCAGAUCCUGGAGUCCGAGACUGGAGAUGGCAACAUAGAGAAGCCAGCAGAGUGUCCCCAUCACCUGUGCCUUCCCAAGGACCCAGUGAACAGACCAGGGGGUGACCGGUGAGUUGUAAGAUGGAAGAAGGGAAGGGAAACAUGAGGUUUAAACCUUAAUCUCUGAAUUCUUUUGUUCAUAAUACUAAUAGCUAGCAUUUAUGAGUAUUCAACUUGGCGUUGGCCCUGGGGGCGAGUGCUUCAGUGCAUUACCUUAUCCUCAUAGUCCUCUGUCUCUGUCUCCAACCACCAGACUAGAGCUCUAAAAAGUUUCCAUUUCCUUACCCUCUUCCACACGCACACUGGGUAGCAGGGUUCUGAGGAUCAGAUCAAAAAUAAAAGGAGACUCAUGAAAGAUACUCGUGUGUCCAAAGAGGAAGGGGAGAGGUCCAGUGAAGGGGGUUUAAUGUCAGAGAGAGAAACUGUACAUCUGGGGCAGAGAUGACAAGAGCGAGCCAGGCCAGCCAAGCCUGACCAGGCCACUCAUCCUGUCAUUCGGGGGGUCUCCACGGUGAAGGAAGUGAGAACAGCAGCAUCCCGUUUCCUCUCCUUGUGGGAGCACAGUGCAGCACUCGGACCAGUUACGCUCCUGGCUCUCUGCAGCUCGGGCACAAAUAUUCAGUUCGUGUUCUCUCCUAACAUGUCAGGCUAAUUGACCCCUGUGCUCUUCAGCGCAGGAAGCUGGUGGCAGGAGCCAGUGAGCUGUGGAGGGAAAAUAAUUCUCGCUGGACAGACAGGCCUGGGGGUCUGGGGAGGUGAGGGUCCCUUUGUGGUCACCUGUCAGAGAUGACAUCGGGCCUCUUCUCAUUCCUGUAACUCUGGGUUCUGCCGGGAUGCACCCGAGUGAAAGGGUAAGAAAGCACUGGACCCUUUUACGGAACCAAGCAGUAUUUUGGACAAGACCCUGAAGACAUGAUGGUGUAAGCUGACUUCCUGCCACCUUGCACAGGGCCUCCUGGCCUCAUGAUGGGGGUCACAGGGCAGCCAUCCAGCCAACAAAGACUCCAGACAUCCAGACAAAACCAUCUUCUCCAUCUAAUCGCCACUCGUCUUCUUAAGGCCAUAGUGGGUAGGCAGUGAAUAUCCCCAAGUCCCUACAUCCUGAGAGUCCUCGGCAGAGGGAGGGGGAGAAGCCCCUUGCCCCAUCUGCCGGGAGUAGAGAACCAGCAAAGUUCAAUCCUCAAAGAUCUCCAGCAUCUCUUAAAUAAGCUUUUCCUUUCCAUUUUCUUCUUUUAAUUAUUUAUCAUCCAUCCAUUUCUUUAUACAAAUAUAUAAUAGAUUUAUAUAGAUUUAUAUAAUAUAAACUUUGUG
rnacentral:lncRNA from 1 species